rnacentral:rRNA from 1 species
GACGAACGCUGGCGGCGUGCUUAACACAUGCAAGUCGAACGGAAAGGCCCUGCUUUUGUGCUGUGCUCGAGUGGCGAACGGGUGAGGAACACGUGAGUAACCUGCCCUUGACUUUGGGAUAACUUCAGGAAACUGGGGCUAAUACCGGAUAGCAGCUCCUGCUGCAUGGUGGGGGUUGGAAAGUUUCGGCGGUUGGGGAUGGACUCGCGGCUUAUCAGCUUGUUGGUGGGGUAGUGGCUUACCAAGGCUUUGACGGGUAGCCGGCCUGAGAGGGUGACCGGCAACAGUGGGCCUGAGAUACGGCCCAGACUCCUACGGGAGACAGCAGUGGGGAAUAUUGCACAGUGGGCGGAAGCCUGAUGCGGCAACGCCGCGUGCGGGAUGACGGCCUUCGGGUUGUAAACCGCUUUCGCCUGUGACGAAGCGUGAGUGACGGUAAUGGGUAAAGAAGCACCGGCUAACUACGUG